GGGUAGCGCAACACGUACACAACCUUCCUUUGAGAGGGGGAUAGCCCAGAGAAAUUUGGAUUAAUACCCCGUAAUAUUAUUGAAUGGCAUCGUUUAGUAAUUAAAGCUAAGGCGCUUGAAGAUGGGUGUGCGUCUGAUUAGGUAGUUGGUGCGGGUAAAGGCCCACCAAGCCUUCGAUCAGUAACUGGUGUGAGAGCACGACCAGUCACACGGGCACUGAGACACGGGCCCG
rnacentral:rRNA from 1 species